AUGUAGAAAGUAUUUUAGUUUAAGUUGAGGUUUUACGGCGCUCGCAACUGCAUAAUGUCAUAUGAGCACCAUUAGAAAGUAUGAAGUGUGCAAUAUGGCGGAUGUACUGAAAAAUGGAGGACCCCUGGUUUAGAACAUGUAGUUUUGUGUGUAUGUGAUGUGAGCUGUCAGGAUUAGUUUGUGGACACAACACCUUGCUCUUUUUUUUUCUGCCCGACUUCUUCCUUCUCUUUGUCCCUUGGUUCGCUUCACAAAAGCAUUUACUUUGCUUUCCCUGUCCAGUGGGCUGUUAGAGGGCACCCUAGUAGGUCCCACUAGUUUUCUUUCUGUCAUUUCUGUCUCCCUGUCUUGCCUUUUCCCCAGCCAGCACUAAAUGACUGUUAUUGUGUCCAUGUGCUUCUCUUCACUCAUAUUCAAACUUUCCCGGUAGGCCUACAGAAGUGAUUCGAACAUGUUCUCCUCUCACUUUGUACUGACAAUAUUAUAUACCAGACGCAGGUGAAGUUACUGCCCCACAGUCACUUACUCACUUACUCUCGUCUGUGCUUUCUUUUCUUUCUAUUGUCUUCUUCUCCCCUCCCCUCCAACCACAGCUGUAAAUGGCCAUGAUUUUGUUGAUGUGCCUCUCUUCAUGACAAACAACUUUGCCUUUUGCCUGUGACAUAGCUUGCACAAUAGCUCCCUGGGGGGAUACCCAAGCUGAUUGUUUUACUGCUGUGAAAUAGCCUUCUCUGCCUCACUUCUGACGCUUGAUAGAAAGAAGGGGGGGGGGGGGGGGACAAUUUGCCUCUCUUUCUUGUUUGAUCUUUGAGACGAAAAAAGUUCUCAUCUGAUUGUCUUUUUUUUUUCAAUUUCAUCCUUUCACCAUCUGUGUAGUUUCCUUGUCUAGUUUGCUGUAUUUGCCAAAUGUUGCUGAUUCUUCCUUUAGCUCUGUUUAUUAUUUCUAUCUUUCUUCUUGGAAAAAGUUGUCUUUCCACAUCAUGGCAGUCUCCAUGUGCUUGUCUUUGGCAUACGAUAGAUGGAUAAUGUUGUUUUAUUAAAUUCAUUUUUAAAUGUGCAUCUCUCUUUUUUUCUUUUAAGUUUCAUUUUUUAUUAUCUUUUAUCUGGGUGACACUUGAAAUAUCCUUGUGAAAUAUUUUGUAAGUGCUGACUGUUGCUCUCUGCCAGGUACAUCAGUGUUGAAAUGAGUGUACCCUGAGAUCAGGUACAUCAGUGUUGAAAUGAGUGUACCCUGAGAUCAGAUAAAUAUGAGCCAUUUUUGUGCAGCCUUGGAGGAAGUAGAGCAAUUAAAGGAACAAAAACUGAAGAGGAAAAGUGUGCCGCAGUGUGCACCUGUGAGACCUUAUAGUAUAGUGAGUGAGGUGAAACUGAAACCUGCGGGACUACCACAUUUUCUUCGGUUUAUCUGGGUGUUUUGGUUUAAAGUUAAAGAGGUAGCUCGAAAAGAAGGAAAAAGUCUGGCAUUUUCUUUUCUUUUGGUUUGGCGUUGUUCUCGGAUUCACCGUGUUUGGUUUAACUGAUUAAGUGGCUCCCCUGUCCCCUGUAUUUCGGGCUGUCAGUUUUUGACAGGGUCGACCAGGGUGAAUUUACUUCUUUUUUUAAAUAUAUAAUGUCAUUUGGUUAUGACCUUUGCACUUGUUUCUUUCUGUGCAGAUAAUAAUUCAGCAAGAUGAUUAUUUACAAGUUACAGUUUAUAAAUCUCUUUAUUUAGUAAUAAUUAUGUAUCAUUGGCAAUGCUGUCACUUCAUAAAACUUUGUGCAGUACA
rnacentral:lncRNA from 1 species